rnacentral:rRNA from 1 species
UACGUAGGCAGCGAGCGUUGUUCGGAAUUACUGGGCGUAAAGAGUGUGUAGGCGGUGCUCUAAGUUCGGUGUGAAAUCUCCUGGCUCAACUGGGAGGGUGCGCCGGAAACUGGAGUGCUUGAGCGUGGGAGAAGGAAAGCGGAAUUCCUGGUGUAGCGGUGAAAUGCGUAGAUAUCAGGAGGAACACCUGUGGUGUAGACGCUUUCUGGACCAUAGCUGACGCUGAGACACGAAAGCGUGGGUAGCAAACAGGA